rnacentral:rRNA from 1 species
CGCAUCUGUGCAUGCAGCAUAUCAAUAAGCGGAGGAAAAGAAACUAACAAGGAUUCCCUUAGUAACGGCGAGUGAAGCGGGAAGAGCUCAAAUUUGAAAUCUUCAAGGUUUUACCUUGACGAAUUGUAGUUUAAAGAAGUGUUUUCUGUUGAAGUUUUGGUAAAAGUUCUUUGGAAUAGGACAUCAUAGAGGGUGAGAAUCCCGUAUUUGACCAUUAUUUUCAGCUGUGUGAUACACUUUCAAAGAGUCGGAUUGUUUGGGAAUGCAGUCCAAAAUGGGUGGUAAAUUUCAUCUAAAGCUAAAUAUUGGCGAGAGACCGAUAGCGAACAAGUACCGUGAGGGAAAGAUGAAAAGAACUUUGAAAAGAGAGUUAAACAGUACGUGAAAUUGUCAAAAGGGAAGCGUUUGACACCAGUGUUGUUUUCUCGAAAAUCAAUUAAAAAGAGUUAGAUUUUGUUGUGUAUUGACCUUAACAGCUUGCAUUUCAAUUUUCUUGCUUUUUUUAAUGCACUUUUCGUUUAACAAGUCAACAUCAGUUUCUUUUGUUGUAAAAAGGUCAUUGGAAGGUGGCUUUCUUUCGGAGAAAGUGUUUAUAGCCUUUGACUCCUGCAAUCGGAGAGACUGAGGUCUGCAGCGUAGAUCCUUCGGGGUUAGAUACAUUUGUGCUAAGUUAUAGCUUUUUAUAGACAACUUGUUGACUAUGAUUAGUCUUGUAGCUUACUCGCUUAUGCUAUUUUACCUACGCUUAGGAUGUUGAUCUGUAGUGCGUGCGC